UAAAUGGGGAACGUCGUCAGCUGCUGCCAAGCACAGGUGUAGGUGUACAGGAGCCAGUAAAGCGGAGCGAACGUCACACUUGGCGGAUAGGAUAGGUAUAAUACCCUACCUGCAGUUUUGAAAUUAUUCAUUUCAAUAGAAUCGAUCAAGCGGACUACGCUCGCGUUGAUUCCCUGGAAACAAUGGAUGAAAUAUUACAAAUUAAGGUCAACUGCAGUGCAGCUUCCCCAGAUAUUGAGAUGCGCCGAGAUAACCAGCCGUAUUCCGUACGGAGGUAAGAAAAAACGUGUGAUACCUGCAGUCGACGGUUGUCGAAACGAAUUCCGAUGUUGAAACGAAAAAGUCGGAUGAGAAAAAGAUGAGGAGAAAGUAAGAGUGGA
rnacentral:misc_RNA from 1 species